AAAGAAAAUAACAAUGAUUCCCCUAGUAACUGCGAGUGAAGAGGGACAAGCUCAAAUUUUAAAUCUGUCGGGUUUUACCUGACCGAGUUGUAAUUUGAAGAAGCGUUUUCUGCGUAUUUGGUCAGCCUAAGUCCUAUUGAAUGAGGCAUCAUGGAGGGUGAUAAUCCCGUCCGGUUGAUCAUUGCGUUUUACGAUACGCUUUCUAAGAGUCAAGUUGUUUGGGAUUGCAGCUUAAAAUGGGAGGUAAAUUUCUCCUAAGGCUAAAUAACGGCGAGAGACCGAUAGCGAACAAGUACCGUGAGGGAAAGAUGAAAAGAACUUUGAAAAGAGAGUUAAACAGUACGUGAAAUUGUUGAAAGGGAAACGAUUGAAGCCAGUCGUACCUGUGGGUAAUCAGCCUUUUGGGUGUGAUUUUGUGGAGUGUGAGGAGUUAAACGCCUUCAUGCCUGCAUAUUCGUGCACUUUGGGUGUAUUUACCCGUGUGGUAAGUUAACAUCAAUUUCGGUGGUCAUAAAAUGGCUGGAGGAAUGUAGCUUCGAUCUUGUAUUGAAGUGUUAUAGCCUUCGGCAGAUGUGAUGAUCGGGAUUGAGGAUUGCAACGGAUACCCCUCGGGGCUACCUGUCUGAUCUCUGAUCGUUGCUCUGGUGCCGAAAGCUUGCUUGCGGUUAUCAAAGUCGAUGGUCAAUAGGUUAGAACGGGUUAAAUUCGUUAAGGAUGUUG
rnacentral:rRNA from 1 species